rnacentral:rRNA from 1 species
GGUUAAGCGACUAAGCGUACACGGUGGAUGCCCUGGCAGUCAGAGGCGAUGAAGGGCGUGCUAAUCUGCGAUAAGCGCCGGUAAGGUGAUAUGAACCGUUAUAACCGGCGAUACCCGAAUGGGGAAACCCAGUGUGACUCGUCACACUAUCAUUAACUGAAUCCAUAGGUUAAUGAGGCGAACCGGGGGAACUGAAACAUCUAAGUACCCCGAGGAAAAGAAAUCAACCGAGAUUCCCCCAGUAGCGGCGAGCGAACGGGGAGGAGCCCAGAGCCUGAAUCAGCAUGUGUGUUAGUGGAAGCGUCUGGAAAGGCGCGCGAUACAGGGUGACAGCCCCGUACACAAAAGCGCAUGUGCUGUGAGCUCGAUGAGUAGGGCGGGACACGUGAUAUCCUGUCUGAAUAUGGGGGGACCAUCCUCCAAGGCUAAAUACUCCUGACUGACCGAUAGUGAACCAGUACCGUGAGGGAAAGGCGAAAAGAACCCCGGCGAGGGGAGUGAAAAAGAACCUGAAACCGUGUACGUACAAGCAGUGGGAGCACCCUUU